rnacentral:misc_RNA from 1 species
AGGAGCCGUAUGGGGUAGUUCCGCACGUACGGAUCAGGGCGGGGGCGGCAGAUAAUUGCCGUCCCUACCGCGAC